rnacentral:rRNA from 1 species
GAUGAACGCUGGCGGCGUGCUUAACACAUGCAAGUCGAACGGAAUGAGAGAAGCUUGCUUCUCGAAGUUUAGUGGCGGACGGGUGAGUAACGCGUGAGGAAUCUGCCUUGGAGUGGGGAAUAACACAGCGAAGGUUGUGCUAAUACCGCAUGAUGCAGUUGGGUCGCAUGGCCCUGACUGCCAAAGAUUUAUCGCUCUAAGAUGAUCUCGCGUCUGAUUAGCUAGUUGGUGAGGUAAUGGCUCACCAAGGCGACGAUCAGUAGCCGGACUGAGAGGUUGAACGGCCACAUUGGGACUGAGACACGGCCCAGACUCCUACGGGAGGCAGCAGUGAGGAAUAUUGGGCAAUGGGCGCAAGCCUGACCCAGCAACGCCGCGUGAAGGAAGAAGGCUUUCGGGUUGUAAACUUCUUUUGUCAGGGACGAAAAAAAUGACGGUACCUGACGAAUAAGCCACGGCUAACUACGUGCCAGCAGCCGCGGUAAUACGUAGGUGGCAAGCGUUAUCCGGAUUUACUGGGUGUAAAGGGCGUGUAGGCGGGACUGCAAGUCAGGCGUGAAAACUAGGGGCUCAACCUCUAGCCUGCGUUUGAAACUGUAGUUCUUGAGUGUCNGAGAGGUAAUCGGAAUUCCUAGUGUAGCGGUGAAAUGCUUAGA